AGAGUUUGAUCCUGGCUCAGGACUAACGCUGGCGGCGUGCCUAACACAUGCAAGUCGAACGGGGGUAGCAAUACCCCAGUGGCAGACGGGUGAGUAACACGUGGUCAACCUACCUCUGUGUGGGGGAUAACUAGCCGAAAGGUUAGCUAAUACCGCAUACGAUCGUUUUGAGGCAUCUCGAGACGAUGAAAGGAGCAAUCCGCACGGAGAGGGGACUGCGUCCCAUUAGUUAGUUGGUGGGGUAACGGCCUACCAAGACUCCGAUGGGUAGCUGGCUUGAGAGAGCGACCAGCCACACUGGAACUGAGACACGGUCCAGACUCCUACGGGAGGCAGCAGUGAGGAAUUUUCCGCAAUGGGCGAAAGCCUGACGGAGCGACGCCGCGUGUGGGAUGAAGGCCUUCGGGUCGUAAA
rnacentral:rRNA from 1 species